UUUAAAGUCUGACCUGCCCACUGAAAUUUUUUAAAUGGCCGCAGUAUACUAACUGUGCAAAGGUAGCAUAAUCAUUAGUCUUUUAAUUGAAGGCUGGUAUGAAUGGUUGGACGAGAUAUUAACUGUUUCAUAAGAAUUUAUAAUAGAAUUUUAUUUUUUAGUCAAAAAGCUAAAAUAUAUUUAAAAGACGAGAAGACCCUAUAAAUCUUUAUAUUUAGAUUAUUAUAAUUUUAUAGAUUUUUUUUGUUAUAAUAAUCAAUGAUAUUUUAUUGGGGUGAUAUUAAAAUUUAAUAAACUUUUAAUUGUUAAAAUCAUUAAUUUAUGAAUAAUUGAUCCGUUAUUAGCGAUUAAAAAAAUAAGUUACUUUAGGGAUAACAGCGUAAUUUUUUUGGAGAGUUCAUAUCGAUAAAAAAGAUUGCGACCUCGAUGUUGGAUUAAGAUAUAAUUUUAGGUGUAGCCGCUUAAAUUUUAAGUCUGUUCGACUUUUAAAUUCUUACGUGAUCUGAGUUCAGACCGGA
rnacentral:rRNA from 1 species